rnacentral:rRNA from 1 species
GUGGACGGGUGAGUAAUGUCUGGGAAACUGCCUGAUGGAGGGGGAGUAACUACUGGAAACGGUAGCUAAUACCGCAUAACGUCGCAAGACCAAAGAGGGGGACCUUCGGGCCUCUUGCCAUCGGAUGUGCCCAGAUGGGAUUAGCUAGUAGGUGGGGUAACGGCUCACCUAGGCGACGAUCCCUAGCUGGUCUGAGAGGAUGACCAGCCACACUGGAACUGAGACACGGUCCAGACUCCUACGGGAGGCAGCAUG